rnacentral:rRNA from 1 species
CCUACGGGUGUCAGCAGUGGGGGAUAUUGCACAAUGGGGGGAACCCUGAUGCAGCGACGCCGCGUGAGUGAAGAAGCGCCUCGGCGCGUAAAGCCCUGUCAGCAGGGAAGAAAAUGACGGUACCUGAAGAAGAAGCCCCGGCUAACUAGGUUCCAGCAGCCGCGUAAGACUGAGGGUGCACGCGUUAUCCGGAUUUACUGGGUGUAAAGGGGGCGCAGACGGCGUUGCACGCCAGGAGGGAAAGCCCGGGGCUCAACCCCGGGACUGCUGUUGGCACUGCGUGGCUGGAGUGCAGGAGGGGCAGGCGGAAUUCCUGGUGUAGCGGUGAAAUGCGUAGAUAUCAGGAGGAACACCGGUGGCGAAGGCGGCAUGCUGGACUGCAACUGACGUUGAGGCCCGAAAGCGUGGGGAGCAAACAGGAUUAGAUACCCUAGUAGUC